GAUGAAGAACGUAGCGAAAUGCGAUACUUGGUGUGAAUUGCAGAAUCCCGUGAACCAUCGAGUCUUUGAACGCAAGUUGUGCCCGAAGCCAUUAGGCCGAGGGCACGCCUGCCUGGGCGUCACACGUCGUUGCCCCCCCAUCUACUCCUUCGGGAUUGCGGGGGGCGGAUGAUGGCCUCCCGUGCGCCUCGCCGCGCGGUUGGCAUAAAUGCCAAGUCCUCGGCGACGCACGCCACGACAAUCGGUGGUUGCGAAACCUCGGUUGCCCGUCGUGUGCGGUCGUCGCGCAUCGAGGGCUCGAAAAAAUUGCCGGGUUCCGGCUCGGCUUUCAACGCGACCCCAGGUCAGGCGGGGUUACCCGCUGAAUUUAAGCAUAUCAAUAGGAGGA
rnacentral:misc_RNA from 1 species